ACACUCCUGCGGGAGGCAGCAGUGGGGAAUAUUGGACAAUGGGCGCAAGCCUGAUCCAGCCAUGCCGCGUGAGUGAUGAAGGCCCUAGGGUUGUAAAGCUCUUUCACCGGUGAAGAUAAUGACGGUAACCGGAGAAGAAGCCCCGGCUAACUUCGUGCCAGCAGCCGCGGUAAUACGAAGGGGGCUAGCGUUGUUCGGAUUUACUGGGCGUAAAGCGCACGUAGGCGGACUAUUAAGUCAGGGGUGAAAUCCCGGGGCUCAACCCCGGAACUGCCUUUGAUACUGGUAGUCUUGAGUUCGAGAGAGGUGAGUGGAAUUCCGAGUGUAGAGGAGAAAUUCGUAGAUAUUCGGAGGAACACCAGUGGCGAAGGCGGCUCACUGGCUCGAUACUGACGCUGAGGUGCGAAAGCGUGGGGAGCAAACAGGAUGAGAAACCCCAGUAGUCC
rnacentral:rRNA from 1 species